UCCGCGUGCUGGGCGACGACGGCGCGCCGCUCGGGCCCGGCGAGACCGGGGAGCUGGCCGUCGAGUCCGACACCCUGUUCGCGGGG
rnacentral:tRNA from 1 species